UACCUGGUUGAUCCUGCCAGUAGUCAUAUGCUUGUCUCAAAGACUAAGCCAUGCAUGUCUAAGUAUAAGUAACUAUACAGCGAAACUGCGAAUGGCUCAUUAAAACAGCUAUAGUUUAUUUGACAAUCUAACUACAUGGAUACCCGUAGUAAUUCUAGAGCUAAUACAUGCUGUACACCGAACUUCAUGGGGAGGUGGUAUUUAUUAGAUAACAACCAAUAUUCCGAAGGUCUAUCGUGGUGAAUCAUAAUAACUGAUCGAAUCGCAAAGCCUCUGGCUGCGAUAAGUCAUUCAAGUUUCUGCCCCAUCAGCUUUAGAUGGUAGUGUAUUGGACUACCAUGGCAUUCACGGGUAACGAAGGAUUAGGGUUCGAUUCCGGAGAGGGAGCCUGAGAAACGGCUACCACAUCUAAGGAAGGCAGCAGGCGCGUAAAUUACCCAAUCCUGACUCAGGGAGGUAGUGACAAGAAAUAGCAAGAAGUACCUAGUAUUUCAUUGAAAUGAGCCGAAUUUACACCACUUAGUGAGGAUCAAUUGGAGGGCAAGUCUGGUGCCAGCAGCCGCGGUAAUUCCAGCUCCAAUAGC
rnacentral:rRNA from 1 species